rnacentral:lncRNA from 1 species
ACCACCACAGGAACCAUUGUAAUCUCUGCAUCAAGUUCAAGUUCACAAAUAAGCAAAGAUAAUUGAUUCUGAGAGAAAUUUCUCCAAGGAUUCCUGCAGUUCUCCUUUGAACAUACGAAGAGGGAACAUUCUUUCAGUCCUAGAAGUUGCUGAAGCAGAGAUGGAGAACCCCAGACUGGAGGGCUUUGAUUUCACCCUGCACAUCUAAGGGCACAAAUUGGUUCCAGGUCAGGAUCAUAUGAGCAUUAAGUCUGAGUUGGGUGUCUCUGAUCAUUCCAGAAUUGCAUUGGAAGGCAGACUUAUAUUCCUGAGAAGCAGGAAUGAGAAGCAUAGUGGAAUUCUGCAAAGGAAACAGAACUUGAACUCAGCAGUCGUAGGUCCCAGUCCUUGCCUAGCUAUAAUAUUGGGCAAGUCAUA